rnacentral:rRNA from 1 species
CCCUUAGAUGUUCUGGGCCGCACACGCGCUACACUGAAGGAGGCAGCGUGUACUCCUGGAUCGAAAGAUUUGGGUAACCCGCGAAUCUCCUUCGUGCUAGGGAUUGAGGUUUGCAAUUAUCCUUCAUGAACGAGGAAUUCCCAGUAAGUGCAAGUCAUAAGCUUGCGCUGACUACGUCCCUGCUCUUUGUACACACCGCCCGUCGCUACUACCGAUUGAAUGAUUUAGUGAGGACUUCGGACUGGGACCGAUGCGGCUUUCGGGCUGCGUCGGUAUUCUGGAAAGAUGUCCAAACUGUAUCAUUUAGAGGAAGUAAAAGUCGUAACA